AUUCAACACAUGAGUGCACUCUCCUUCAUGUGAAAAACGUCCUUUAUACACAGCGCACACAGUAUCAGAGCUGCUGCCUUUCUCCUUUUUCUCAAAUAUACAGUAGACACACAUUCAAUGACCUCCUGGGUACUGCUUUUUUGUGCAACGGUAUGUACUGCCAAGUCACACAGCUUGAGCAGCAGGGAGGUCCAGAAACCCAGAGGGAGAAAGUACGUGACAGAGAGCACACCAUGUAUGAAAAUGUGUGUGUCAGGUUGAAGGGGCUGAAGUGGGGUUUUUUCACUGACACCCUUGAAAAAGAUGCAGGGAAUGAAGCAUAGCCAGGAAGCCCAUAAAACAUAUGACAUCGAUCUGAAUCAGCAGAGCCAUGACAUCAUUGUCAACUGACUCUUAUCAUCGGUUGCAUGGUCACAGAAGAAAAGACCUCAGUCUCUAAUAACCAGCAGCAGAUGAGUCCAAGCAGGAAGACACUGCAGGAGCACAGGAAAUGGCUCAGGUCAGAAUAUGUUUGGAGAGAUCUUUCUUUUUGGCAAAAGGAUGGUCUCUCUGGUUUGUCUUGGAGGUCUCAGCAACAACCCUGCUGUGUUGAUGUGUUUUCUUUCCUUUUCUUUUUUCCAAAUGAGGAUGGCAGGGUAACAGAGA